ACGGAAGGCAGCAGUGAGGAAUAUUGGUCAAUGGGCGAGAGCCUGAACCAGCCAAGUAGCGUGAGGGAUGACUGCCCUACGGGUUGUAAACUUCUUUUAUACGGGAAUAAAAAAGGCCACGCGUGGCCUCUUGCAUGUACCGUAUGAAUAAGCAUCGGCUAAUUCCGUGCCAGCAGCCGCGGUAAUACGGAAGAUGCGAGCGUUAUCCGGAUUUAUUGGGUUUAAAGGGAGCGUAGGCGGGUCUUUAAGUCAGUGGUCAAAGCGGGUGGCUCAACCAUACCACGCCAUUGAUACUGGAGACCUUGAGUGCACAUAAGGAUGGUGGAAUUCGUCGUGUAGCGGUGAAAUGCUUAGAUAUGACGAAGAACUCCGAUUGCGAAGGCAGCUGUCCGGGGUGUAACUGACGCUAAUGCUCGAAAGUGCGGGUAUCAAACAGGAUUAGAUACCCUGGUA
rnacentral:rRNA from 1 species